CUUGCCCCAGGGGCUUGAGAGCUGUGAUGAGUCUGGAAAGGAAGAACACAUGGAUGAGGUUGUGUAACGGCAGAACACCAUAACGAGUCUCACAAGACUGUGUGAGGGACAAAAGAGCAUCGUCGUCUCUCACUACCUCAGCUACUCCACUUCUGUAUUGUAAGAACAAGUUCAUGCUCGUGCCUCAAAGACUGAGUGUGGAGUGAGUGAACUACAGGGUACCCGACAUUUUCCAGGACUCAUACAGCGGUGACUCAUAUACAGCACCAAUGGCACUUGUCUAUGUUCUCUUUACUCUUAUCUUGGGAGCUCAUCGACUCCCGAGGUUAAGUGCGCAGGUUUUGGAAUCGAGAGGAGGUGAGGCUGGUCCGAGUGUCGUCAUGCAAUGCGAGGGUAGCGAUGUGAUGCUGAAUAAAGCUACCCUCGGGGUUAACAUUCAUCAUGUGUUUGUGUCUCGGGGGGACGAGUCUCUGGCAAGUUCGUCCGUAGCCGCCACUGGGCAGUUUCAGGACCGACUGACCGUGGACAGUAACGGAAGAGUGACCCUGGCUAAUCUCACAGUGGAUGAUCUUGGGAAGUACCGGGUGGAGGUCAAACUGUCGGAAGACGAAAGAUCCACAGCAACAUCAGAUUAGUGAUCAGCGAACCCCCGGCAACUACCGACAGGAAGUUACUCGUUAACAAGAUGUUAUCAACAGGAAGUGACGCAGUGCGGCUGACGUGUGGACACUUCACGUCUCUGGGUUUCCCCGCUGUCUCUGCUGUUUGGAAGGAUCCCCAAGGCAAAAUAAUACCCAGCGAAGGAUUCAAAGAGCAGGUCUUCUACCUGGAUUUACCUUUGAGUAGUGCGGUGUCCGGCAACUACUGUUGUCACCUGGACUGUCGCGCCCACGAUUUUGCUGUCUGGACCGAGUCGCCA